UACGAAGGGGGCAAGCGUUGUUCGGAAUUACUGGGCGUAAAGGGCGCGUAGGCGGUGCUCUAAGUCAGGCGUGAAAGCCCUGGGCUCAACCCGGGAAUUGCGCUUGAUACUGGAGCGCUUGAAUCCAGGAGAGGUUGGUGGAAUUCCAGUGUAGAGGUGAAAUUCGUAGAGAUUGGGAAGAACACCGGUGGCGAAGGCGGCCAACUGGACUGGUAUUGACGCUGAGGCGCGAAAGCGUGGGGAGCAAACAGG
rnacentral:rRNA from 1 species